UAAAGAUUUUAAGGGCGUACGGUGGAUGCCUUGGCGAUAUCAGCCGAAGAAGGACGCGGUAAGCUGCGAUAAGCUACGGAGAGGUGCAAGCAACCUUUGACCCGUAGAUUUCCGAAUGGGGGAACCCGGCAGUGGUUAUGCACUGUCACCCAUACCUUUGAGUAUGAGGAGGGCACCUGGGGAACUGAAACAUCUAAUUACCCAGAGGAAAAGUAAUCAAACGAGAUUUUCUUAGUAGCGGCGAGCGAACGGGAAAGAGGCCAAACCGGAGCGGGCAACCGCACCGGGGUUGAGGACAGUCAUCAAGUGUAAAUGAGGUAGAAGAAUCGAGUUGGAAAGCUCAGCCGCAGAAGGUGAAAGCCCUGUAAUCGAAACCUUGCAUACAUGGGACUGUAUCCAGAGUACCACGAGACACGUGAAACCUUGUGGGAAGCAGGGGGGACCACCCUCCAAGCCAAAAUACUGAUAUCGACCGAUAGCGCAUAGUACCGUGAGGGAAAGGUGAAAAGAACCCCUGGCGGGGAGUGAAAGAGAACCUGAAACCGUAUGUCUACAAACAGUCGAAGUCUGUAUAUAUAUCAGGACGACGGCGUGCCUAUUGAAGAAUGAACCGACGAGUUACUGUUGCUAGCGAGGUUAAGUGGAAAACAUGGAGCCGCAGCGAAAGCGAGUCUGAACAGGGCGUUCAGUUAGUGAUAGUAGACCCGAAACCGUAGUGAUCUAUCCAUGGCCAGGUUGAAGCACAGGUAAAAUUGUGUGGAGGACCGAACUCGUGAGCGUUGAAAAGCUUUGGGAUGAGUUGUGGAUAGGGGUGAAAUGCCAAUCGAACACGGAGAUAGCUGGUUCUCCCCGAAAUAGCUUUAGGGCUAGCCUCGAGGUUGAGAGUAUAGGCGGUAGAGCACUGAUCGGGCUAGGGGCCAUACCGGUUACCGAACCUAGUCAAACUACGAAUGGCUAUACUUAUACUCGGGAGUCAGACAGUGAAUGAUAAGGUCCAUUGUCAAGAGGGAAACAGCCCAGAACACCGACUAAGGUCCCAAAUGUUACACUAAGUGGCGAAGGAUGUGGAAUUUCCAAAACAACCAGGAUGUUGGCUUAGAAGCAGCCACCAUUUAAAGAGUGCGUAAUAGCUCACUGGUCGAGAGACUCUGCGCCGAAAAUGUCCGGGGCUAAAGUGUAAAACCGAAGUCGUGUCAUAUGCAGCAAUGUAUAUGGGUAGGGGAGCGUUCUCAUUGGGUUGAAGCAGUACCGUAAGGAGUUGUGGACUGAUGAGAAGUGAGAAUGUCGGUAUGAGUAGCGAAAAGAAUGGUGAGAAUCCAUUCCACCGAAAGCCUAAGGGUUCCUGAGCAACGAUCGUCGUCUCAGGGUAAGUCGGGACCUAAGCCGAGGCGGAAAAGCGUAGGCGAUGGACAACAGGUUGAAAUUCCUGUACCGGUGUGAAUCGUUUGAUCGAUGGAGUGACACAGUAAGGUAGGUCAGCACGCGAUUGGAAGUGCGUGUUUAAGCAUGUAGGUUGAGCUAUAGGCAAAUCCGUAGCUCUAAAAGCUGAGAUGUGAUGACGAGUUACUAGCGAUAGUAACGAAGUGAUUGAUCCUACACUGUCGAGAAAAGCUUCUAGGUAGAGACACAUCGCCCGUACCAAAACCGACACAGGUAGGCGGGGAGAGAAUCCUAAGGUGCGCGGGAAAACCCUCGUUAAGGAACUCGGCAAAAUGCCUCCGUAACUUCGGGAAAAGGAGGACUCAUGUAGUGUGAAGUGCAGCAACGCAUGGAGCAUGAAUGAGUGGCACAAGAGAGGCGCAAGCGACUGUUUACCACAAACACAGGUGCCUGCUAAAGCGAAAGCUGAUGUAUAGGUGCUGACACCUGCCCGGUGCUGGAAGGUUAAGAGGAGGGGUUAGACUUCGGUCGAAGCUCUGAAUUGAAGCCCCAGUAAACGGCGGCCGUAACUAUAACGGUCCUAAGGUAGCGAAAUUCCUUGUCGGGUAAGUUCC
rnacentral:rRNA from 1 species